rnacentral:rRNA from 1 species
UGACAUCCACAGAACCUGGCAGAGAUGCCGGGUGUCGCCUUCGGGAACUGUGAGACAGGUGCUGCAUGGCUGUCGUCAGCUCGUGUUGUGAAAUGUUGGGUUAAGUCCCGCAACGAGCGCAACCCUUAUCCUUUGUUGCCAGCGGUCAGGCCGGGAACUCAAAGGAGACUGCCAGUGAUAAACUGGAGGAAGGUGGGGAUGACGUCAAGUCAUCAUGGCCCUUACGACCAGGGCUACACACGUGCUACAAUGGCGCAUACAAAGAGAAGCGACCUCGCGAGAGCAAGCGGACCUCAUAAAGUGCGUCGUAGUCCGGAUUGGAGUCUGCAACUCGACUCCAUGAAGUCGGAAUCGCUAGUAAUCGUGAAUCAGAAUUGUCACGGUGAAUACGUUCCCGGG